CACAUUGUAUUUCAACCUUUCAAAUCUAUCUCAUAGAUUACCCUAGCCAAGACUUUACUAAAUUAAAAUAUAGUGAUGCAUCAACUCCUAUAAUCCAGAAGGAUCAAUCCCAUCUUGAUCUACAUACAGACUUUGCAAAUACUUGACUGUAUCCAGUAGCCUUUCGUCAUUGUAUUAGAAGUCUAGAUAGUCUGGUACCAAAGCACAGUGAACUUCAAAUCACUAUGGUGAUCUCAGGUCUGAGGGAUACUUACGUCCAUAUGCUUCACGAGCAGCUCUUGACAGUAGAAUGCCCAGC
rnacentral:lncRNA from 1 species